UGGUGAUCAUAUGACUGACGGGAGUGGAUGUUACCACAUGGAGUAUGAUCGUGAAACCAGCCGACCGUCUGGGCAGAAAAA
rnacentral:ncRNA from 2 species